rnacentral:rRNA from 1 species
GACGAACCGAGCAAACGUUAUUCGGAAUCACUGGGCGUAAAGGGCGCGUAGGCGGCCGCUUGCGUCGGAUGUGAAAGCCCGGGGCUCAACCCCGGAACGGCAUCCGAUACGGGGCGGCUCGAGACCGAGAGAGGUGAGUGGAAUACCCAGUGUAGAGGUGAAAUUCGUAGAUAUUGGGUGGAACACCGGUGGCGAAAGCGGCUCACUGGCUCGGUUCUGACGCUGAGGCGCGAAAGCGUGGGGAGCAAACAGG